GACGGAGGAUGCAAGUGUUAUCCGGAAUCACUGGGCGUAAAGCGUCUGUAGGUGGUUCGAAAAGUCCACUGUUAAAAAUUGAGGCUUAACUUCAAAGAUGCCGUGGAAACUUUCAAACUAGAGUAUGGUAGGGGUAGAGGGAAUUUCCAGUGGAGCGGUGAAAUGCGUAGAUAUUGGAAAGACCACCGAUGGCGAAGGCACUCUACUGGGCCACUACUGACACUGAGAGACGAAAGCUAGGGGGGCAAAUGGG
rnacentral:rRNA from 1 species